rnacentral:rRNA from 1 species
GACGAACGCUGGCGGCGUGCCUAAUACAUGCAAGUCGAACGCUUAUUUCCUGCUUUUUUCUUGCGCUCGAGUGGCGAACGGGUUGGUAACCCGUUAGUUACCUCCUCUUUACCUUAGGCAUCCUUCGGGAAAAUCAGUCUAAAACAGGUUCUAAUACCCCGUUGCAUUUUGUGCCUUAUGACGUUUCGGCGGUUGGGGCUGUCCGCUCGGGUUAUCAGCUUGUUGGUGGGUUAGUUGCUUACCAAGGCUUUGACGGGUAGCCGGCCUGAGCGGGUGACCGGCCACAUUGGGACUGAGAUACGGCCCAGACUCCAACGGGAGGCAGCAGUGGGGAGUAUUGCAGAAUGGGCGGAAGCCUGAUGAAGAAACGCCGCGUGCGGGAUGACGGCCUGUGGGUGGUAAACAGCUUUCGCAGGUGACGAAGCGUGAGUGACGGUAAUGGGUAAAGAAGCAACGGCUAACUACGUG